rnacentral:lncRNA from 1 species
AUGAACUGUAGGGGAAAAAGACAACAGAAAGUUGCUCGCAAAAAGAAAAAGCAGUUGAAAUACGCUAUGAAGAAAAACAAAAUCUGGAAAAACAUCCCAUCAAUAAAUCACCCAAACAAGAGGAACUUAAAAGAAUACAAGAACCAGAAGGUGAACAGUCGUCGAGCUCUUGGUCGUGCACCUGGAACGUGGGGCUCAUUGAGGGCAUUCCGAAGGUUCAGGAUGUCCCAGGUAUCAUGGGAAAUUUCUACAGUCGCUUUGGCCUGAGUGAGGGGACGAGAGUCUAACUGGGUUCGGGGAAAAUAGAAGAUUUUUUUGUGGGAAGGAAGUCUUCCAGAAUGUCUAGUUGAGAUGUUUGUGGAAAAGAAAUCCAAUGGUGACGGUGAUAGUGUUUUCAAAGUAGAAGACUCUUGUCCUAGCUAUUUGCUAUUUAUCCACUCUAAAAUGAUAUAGAUUUUCAUACGAUUCCAAUGAAAAUGUCAGUUUUAAGAUCACUUAAGAUCAGUGAACCAAAAGUGCAUUGAACUAUUGGAGAGUUUGUGUGUAUGCGUAUGUAUGUAUUAAGUCCAGCUAGAUAAAUGGUGUUCCAGCAGCAAGAGAGUCAGUAUUCUUAUUAUCUUUAUCAAUAAUGGGGAUGAAAAAUGAUCUUUAGCAGUGACCACCCAUGGCAUUAGCCGGGGCGGGUCUGAUACCACGUUCAAAAUGAUCAUGAUGAUGUUAGAAAAUUGGUUCCUUGGAAACAGGAGACAAUUCAAAAGGAUCAAGUACAAGGUAGACCUUUAAAGACAAAAAGUAGACAUAAAUGCACACUGAGGCAAGUCUGGCGAGGCACAAGCCUCACGGUUGGCCCCAAACUGAAAAUGAGUCAGACUUGUAUGCCAUUAUUCAAAAAAGCAACAUGAUACCUGGGUCUAUAAACAGGAGGAUGACACACAAGAAGAGCAUGUAAGUAGCCCCGCCACUGUGACUCAGCACCGAUCAGGUCCAUAUCAGAGUGUUGUGGCCAGUUCUGGUCCCUAACACUGUAGGAAAGAUACCGAAAGAAGGCCCAGAGGAGAACAGCAGCUGCAGCAGAGGUAUAUGUGAAAAACCGAUCUCCAGGGUGAAUGUCAAAGGAGUUGUGGUUUAAAGCCUGGUGAAGGGAAGACUCAAGGGUGACUUAGUAACUGUCUUUAAGUCUCUGAUGGGUUCUUAUGAGGAGGACUGAGCAAAGGUGGCCAGAAGAGGUGAAAGGCAAACUCAACACCCACCCCACAUCCCCCAGAUGUACUACCAAGCACAGGGAAGGUAUGGCUGAGAGCAAGUAGGCUCUGAAAAGGACUAGAUUGUGCAGGUAGAAAGAGUGGGAAGCAGCAUGGCUUAGUGGAUAGAGCAUGGACCUGGGAGUCAGAAGGACCUGGGUUCUAAUCACAGCUCUGCCACUUGUCUGCUGUGUGACCUUGGGCAAGUCAUUUAACUUCUCUGGGCCUCAGUUACCUCAUCUGAAAAUGGGGAUUAAGACUGUGAGCCCCAUGUAGGACAGGGACUGUGUCCAACCUAGUGAUCUUGUAUCUACCCCAGUGUUUAGAACAGUGCUUGACACAUAGUAAGCACUUAACAAAUGCCAUCAUCAUUAUUAUGCAUUAUUAGAAGCAGCGUGGCUCAGUGGAAAGAGCAUGGGCUUUGGAGUCAGAGAUCAUGAGUUCACAUCCCAGCUCUGCCACUUGUCGACUGUGGGCAAGUCACUUAA